rnacentral:rRNA from 1 species
GAUGAACGCUAGCUACAGGCUUAACACAUGCAAGUCGAGGGGUAACAAGAGAAAAGCUUGCUUUUCUUGUUGACGACCGGCGCACGGGUGAGUAACGCGUAUCCAACCUGCCUAUAACUAGGGAAUAACCUUGCGAAAGUAAGACUAAUACCCUAUGAUUUCCUUUGAUGACAUCAGAUUAGGAAUAAAGAUUUAUCGGUUAUAGAUGGGGAUGCGUCUGAUUAGCUUGUUGGCGGGGUAACGGCCCACCAAGGCAACGAUCAGUAGGGGUUCUGGGAGGAAGGUCACCCACAUUGGAACUGAGACACGGUCCAACCUCCUACGGGAGGCAGCAGUGAGGAAUAUUGGUCAAUGGGCGGAAGCCUGAACCAGCCAAGUAGCGUGCAGGAUGACGGCCCUAUGGGUUGUAAACUGCUUUUGACGGGGAACAAGUCGGCCAUGCGUGGCUAAGUGAGUGUACCCGUAGAGUAAGCCACGGCUAACUACGUGCCAGCCGCCGCAGUAA